UACGUAGGUGGCAAGCGUUGUCCGGAUUUACUGGGCGUAAAGCGCGUGCAGGCGGUCUGACAAGUCUGAUGUGAAAUCUCCGGGCUUAACCGGGAGAGGCCAUUGGAAACUGACAGGCUGGAGGGCAGUAGAGGUAGGCGGAAUUCCGGGUGGAGUGGUGAAAUGCGUAGAGAUCCGGAGGAACACCAGAGGCGAAGGCGGCCUACUGGGCUGCACCUGACGCUGAGCCGCGAAAGCCAGGGGAGCGAACGGG
rnacentral:rRNA from 1 species